rnacentral:rRNA from 1 species
UACGUAGGGGGCAAGCGUUGUCCGGAAUCAUUGGGCGUAAAGAGCGUGUAGGCGGCCAGAUAAGUCCGCUGUGAAAUCUCGAGGCUCAACUUCGAGCUGUCGGUGGAAACUGUCUGGCUAGAGUCCGGAAGAGGAGAAUGGAAUUCCUGGUGUAGCGGUGAAAUGCGCAGAUAUCAGGAAGAACACCCGUGGCGAAGGCGGUUCUCUGGGACGGUACUGACGCUGAGACGCGAAAGCGUGGGGAGCGAUCAGG